rnacentral:tRNA from 1 species
GGGCCUAUAGCUCAGUUGGUUAGAGUCCCUGACUCAUAAUCAGGUUGUCCCAGGUUCAAGUCCUGGUGGGCCCACAA